GCAGAAGAGUCUCUGAGGUGUACUUGCCUGGAGGCAGAAUCAGCACCAGAAGUCAGGUCCAGUCCUAAGGUCAGACAAACAGCAACCCACAUGUUCAGAUGGUCCAGGGGUCAGGGAAUUCAAUGAUCAUGGAGUCAAGGGUCAAGACAAGCCAGAAGCAGCAAGGUGGAGCCUUGGGGGCAGGUGAGAUGUAUUUCCAUUGUCUGACACCCAGCUGCAAUUAACAAGAUUUUUUCUUCCGUUCAACAACCAUGUCACCCACCAUCAAAUUAAAUACUGCCAGCAUCAGAGAGAGUAUGAGGUCUGCCUCAACCAUUAAAGUGAUCUGUUGGAAAAUAAAAAUCCAAAAAUCCUAGGCAUAUCGACAACCACACCACAUGUGCUAGGUGUGCAUUUGCUGCCGAGGACUUUGCAACAAAUUUUGUAUCAAUGAGAGAUGCAUUCAGAAUAAAAGUGAAGAAAACA